UUGCAUUUAACUCGUAGUUGUAGUUGUAUAGUGUUCUGUUAAGUGUUGUGUCUGCUGAGUAGGCAGAGUUAUUAGGAAGUUUCGCGAGUUCGGUGAAGUGAGGCGAGAUCAGAUAUGAGGCAAUAGAAGAAAGAAAGAAGAAAUGUAGUGCAUGUUAUAUCGUGAGUCAACGAGGUGAGGUGGAUUAAGAUUAUAAAGCUAUCGAUCGACACUAUAGCACUUAGGUGGUGACCAGUUUGCAUUUUAGAUGUGAUGGGCAGUCGAAGUUGUGUGAUCAUUUACAGAGGUCGUUGGUAUUAUCUGGCGAAUAUCAUCGUGUGCGUCAUUGCAGAUUAACCACACAUUCGUACACCGAUAUACAAGUUAUCCACGAUUAUCCAGCUGAACUCUAUCACACAAACCUAUCGCAUACUGAGCCUUGCAGCGCGCGAAGCAACGGGCCUCACGGUUGGAGUUUCAUCACGUUAACCCUAUCCUGACCAGACCGGGAUCCUUGCCGACAUGUAACUGCCUGUUCAACUUUCACUGGUGUAGCGCUCCCCUCAGUAUGUCUAUUGAUGAGGGCAGAGCUUUUGGGUUCUUUUAAGGUAUUUAUCAAAUGUGUUUUACCCUGAUUACCUCAGUUUUAGAUGUUAUCUUGGAUCUCUCUUUUAAAAUACACACAUGAACUAUUUCUCUAACCUACCUAUGAAUUCACCUUUCUUAAGCUAUAGUUUUAAUAAAGAUUUUUAACCAUAAGUGUCUGUAUAUGUCUCUCUCAGAAUAAAAUAAUACCCUCUUUCAAGGUAAGUUCUCAAAUAACACAACACAAGGUUUUGGAAAAAUAAAUAUCAAUUAUUUACUCAAAGAAAUUAUUAUCUCCAAUAAAAUAAGAAAAUGAAAUAAGAAUAUGAUUGUUCUUUUUUAAACCUUCGAUGUAAAAUGUCCCUCUUUUUUAAAGAAAAUAUUAUCAAUACUGUACCAUAUAAAUGCACAGACAACAAUUUAAACCCUAUUAACCUCCAAAUGGAUUAAUUCAGAAAACCUCAGUGUACCACUUAAAAGUAACUUAAACCAACAUGCUUUGUGGGCCCACACACACCUUAAUGCGAUCUAAGCCGGCAACCAAAAAUAUUAUAAAACUAAAAUACCGUAGCAGGCCUGAAGCGGUGCUUGUGUUCGUUGUGGCCCAAAACUUAAUGGCCGUUUCGCUCGUCAGCGAGCAAACAAAAUUAAGGAUAUCUUGAGUUAAUGUUUCUGUCCAGUCCUUACCCCCAUAGUCACAGUAGCAGGCUCAGCAUCCGAUUAGCGUUUCAACACGAACUCCGUUUGUUUAUCUUUUCUCCUCCACGUUUCCAGUAAAACUCAUGAGAGAAGUCCUGGUUGCUCCAAGCUCUGUCUGAGUCUCUUUUCUGUCUUCAGGUCGAAAACAGCGAAUAAACCCCUCGAACUGUUCAACUGAGGGAGUCAAACUUUAAACUAGAAAAUGUCGCUCACAUGUAAUGAACGGACUCCAGCCUAUACUUCAAGUUACUGGACAUUAAUUGGAAAAUAAUCCUCUAAAGGUGAUUUAGAACCGUAAUAGCAAUCAGUGCAUACUACAACAUUCAAUACAACUGCCAUGGAGACGAAAUUCACUGAGAUGGUUACAAGAGUGGGGGAUCAACGGAAGGUCGCUUUUGCACUGAUGUUCCCUGCCAAAUUGAGAACAGAUACUAUGGAUCGCCGCAAAAUAUUUACAUGUCCACAACAAGACAUGUCCUUCAUAAAGUCAAUGGCCUGAGUAAGUUAUUUUGUGGUUCUCACGUUGCUGCCAAGUGAGCCUGACUCACUGAACAUUCACUUGACCUUCCAAGGAAACUGGGCACCUUUUUUGCUUCUUUUUGUGCUGGUUCCGCCUAGCGGCAGGAGUUUGUUUUGUGGAAAAACACUCCUCCUUAUUUGUACUUAUGACUCUAACUGGAAUUUUUUUUGUGGAGUAUUUCUUGCAGGACAUUGGAGUGAUUGGUCGAAUGGGCCGGUCCACUGAACAUUCGUUUGACUGCCUAAGGAAACUAACUGAACAGCUUUUAUUUUUUAUUUAUUUUUGUGCUGGAUCCGCUAGCGGCUGGAGCUUGUUUUGUGGAGGGACACACCUUCAGGACAGUUAUGUGAAUGAACAUACACUUUCUGUGUGUUUAUUCUGCCUAUUGGCAGGAGUUUGUUUUAUAGAUUAUCUUCUGUAGUGUAAUUCUGUCUCACAAAAUUUGUAUAGAAACACCAGACAUGAGCAAUCCGGUGGCAAAUUUUGGGAAGAUAUGGGGUUGACAUGUUUUCUUUAGUGCUUGCUCAAGUAAGAGCAGGGGAGUCAUAACACUGAUAAGUAAGCAUCUACGAUUCAAAUGUCUAAAACUGAUUAAAGAUAAAUUAGGAAGAUUCAUUAUUGACUUAGCAGAAAUUCAGGAGCAAAGGUUGAUUCUGGCUAAUAUUUACACAACUAAUGCUGAUGACCAGGGUUUUUUUAUAGAUCUUGAAGGGAUGUUCCAAGCCGCUGGCACCCUUCGUGAUAUAAUAUUGGGAGGAGACUUUAGUCUUUUAGACUCAAUCCUUGAUCAUAGUGAGGCAAAAGUGUGUAAGCCCCCUAGAGCAUCAUUGACACUUCACAGGAUGAGUAAAUAUCUAGGUCUUACAGAUAUUUGGAGACUUUUGAACCGAUCUGGUAGGGAAUAGAAUUUAUUCUAAAAUAGAUAUUUUUUAUAUAUAACCAAGUCCCUCAUUUCAUCUGUUGUUGAUUGCUCAAUUGGAAACAUUUUAGUCUCAGAUCACACCCUGGUGAGUUUAGAGAUGUUGCCACAUGCAGAGAAAAGGAAACAAUUUAGUUGGCGCUUUAAUGUAUCCCUUUUGCAAAAUCCUGAAUUCCAACAAAAGGCUAAAAUCAAUGUUUAUAUGGAGACCAAUUGGUCCUCUGUAUCCUCUGUGGGCAUGGCUUGGGAGGCACUUAAGGCAGUUCUUAGGGGUCAAAUCAUACAGUAGGCCUCAUUCACUUCAUUCAUUCUCGGGUUUCGUUUUGCCCCAGACUCUGUUUUUAGGCAAUGGGGUGGUCAUCAAAAUAGGGGAUAAACACAUAAAAAAUUGGGUUCUUACAGGUGUUAUGACAGGCAGACGGGGUUUUACGGGGAUGGAAUUCGGCUCGAGUGCCCUCAUUUCGGGAGUGGUGCACAGAGAUGGGGAGGGUGGCAGCUUUUGAGGAGGUGUCAUGUAGAAGGCUGGGGAUCUGGGAUUGAUUUGAUGGGAAAUGGAGCAUUUAUUUGACUUUUUGGGGGACUCUCAGGGAGGGGCUGUGGAGAGAGAGGCAUAGUGUUAGAUGUGUAUGAUUAUUAUUGUGUGUGUGUGUGUGUGUAUUUA